AUAUAGUUAUCUAAUAGUAU
rnacentral:snRNA from 1 species